rnacentral:tRNA from 1 species
GGCCCGGUGGCGGAAGCGUCCACGCGAGGACGGUGCAACGUCCUUCAUCCUGGUUCAAGUCCAGGCCGGGCCUCCA